rnacentral:rRNA from 1 species
CCUACGGGAGGCAGCAGUGGGGAAUAUUGCACAAUGGGGGAAACCCUGAUGCAGCGACGCCGCGUGAGUGAAGAAGCGCCUCGGCGUGUAAAGCUCUGUCAGCAGGAACGAUAAUGACGGUACCUGUAGCAGAAGCCCCGGCGAACUACGUGCCAGCAGCCGCGGGAAUACGUAGGGGGCAAGCGUUAUCCGGAUUUACUGGGUGUAAAGGGAGCGUAGACGGCGGGGCAAGUCUGGAGUGAAAGGCCGGGGCCCAACCCCGGGACCGCUCUGGAAACUGCCCGGCUAGAGUGCGGGAGAGGUGAGCGGAAUGCCUAGUGUAGCGGUGAAAUGCGUAGAUAUGAGGAGGAACACCAGCGGCGAAGGCGGCUUACUGGACCGUGACUGACGUUGAGGCACGAAAGCGUGGGGAGCAAACAGGAUUAGAUACCCCUGUAGUC